GCGGACUUUGUCCGCUGGGAUGUAACCAUCAUGGUUGAACCGUAAA
rnacentral:ncRNA from 1 species